UACGUAGGGGGCAAGCGUUGUCCGGAAUCAUUGGGCGUAAAGCGCGCGUAGGCGGCCAGAUUAGUCCGGUGUGAAAGUCAGAGGCUCAACCUUUGAAUGCCGCUGGAAACUGUCUGGCUUGAGUCCGGAAGGGGCGAGUGGAAUUCCUGGUGUAGCGGUGAAAUGCGCAGAUAUCAGGAGGAACACCAAUGGCGAAGGCGGCUACCUGGACCAGCACUGACACUGAGGCACGAAAGCGUGGGGAGCAAACAGG
rnacentral:rRNA from 1 species